UCGUGCAUUCAAAGCUCACACUCAAACCUACGCGAUCCACAUCGGAAGAAUCACCAUUUCCCACGCUUCCAACGGCAAAAGGAUUCUUCCGGGUUCUAUUGUUCAUCAUUGUCUUAUUUGCUUAUUUAGAGCUUUUUUAAUCCUUUGUAAAAUCUUCUAUUGUGGUGCUUGUUCCAGUCAAGGGACUUGGAACAAGGGAAAGGCGUCCCAAGCCUAAGUGUAAUUGGGGGUUUUAGGAUUUGUUGUUAGCCCGGUGUAAAACAACGAGUUGGGUAGUGAACUCGCA
rnacentral:lncRNA from 1 species